rnacentral:snRNA from 1 species
GUGCUCGAUUCAGCAGCACCUAUAUUAAAAGUAUAACAAUACAAAAAUUAACAGGUCCCCUGGGUAAGGAAAACACAAAUUCAUAACACAUUCCAUAUUAUUUU